rnacentral:rRNA from 1 species
UACAGAGGGUGCGAGCGUUAAUCGGAAUUACUGGGCGUAAAGCGCGCGUAGGCGGCUUCGCAAGUCGGGUGUGAAAUCCCCAAGCUCAACUUGGGAACUGCAUUCGAGACUGCGUUGCUAGAGUAUGGGAGAGGGAAGUGGAAUUUCAGGUGUAGCGGUGAAAUGCGUAGAUAUCUGAAGGAACAUCAGUGGCGAAAGCGACUCCCUGGACCAAUACUGACGCUCAUGUGCGAAAGCGUGGGGAGCAAACAGG